AUCUUUUUGUGGUUCAUAUUUGUGACGAUUUGGUUUUCAGGCCAAUGUAUGAGAUUUACCUCCUUCAAACCUUGUUAGCACAUUGGCACAUUUCAAUUGUCUGACA
ensembl:snoRNA